AGGGGUGUAACUCAGCGGUCAGAGUAGGGGACUCAUAAUCCCUUAGUCGUCGGUUCAAAUCCGACCGCCCCUACCA
rnacentral:tRNA from 1 species